ACCUGGGUGGCUCAGUAGGUUAAGCAUCUGACUUUAACUCAGGUCCUGAUAUCCUGGUUGAUGAAUUCAAGCCCCAUGUU
rnacentral:tRNA from 1 species